GUAGGUGGCAAGCGUUGUCCGGGAAUUAUUGGGCGUAAAGCGCGCGCAGGCGGUUCUUUAAGUCUGAUGUGAAAGCCCACGGGCUCAACCGUGGAGGGUCAUUGGAAACUGGAGAACUUGAGUACAGAAGAGGAAAGCGGAAUUCCACGUGUAGCGGUGAAAUGCGUAGAGAUGUGGAGGAACACCAGGGGCGAAGGCGGCUUUCUGGUCUGUAACUGACGCUGAGGCGCGAAAGCGUGGGGAGCAAACAGGAUUAGAUACCCUGGUAGUCCACGCCGUAAACGAUGAGUGCUGAGUGUUAGGGGGUUUCCGCCCCUUAGUGCUGCAGCUAACGCAUUAAGCACUCCGCCUGGGGAGUACGGCCGCAAAGGCUG
rnacentral:rRNA from 1 species